rnacentral:rRNA from 1 species
ACACGACUACAUUAGAUACCCGUGUAGUCCUAGCCGUAAACGAUACUCGCUAGGUGUCGGCCACGGUGCGACCGUUGUCGGUGCCGUAGGGAAGCCGUGAAGCGAGCCACCUGGGAAGUACGGCCGCAAGGCUGAAACUUAAAGGAAUUGGCGGGGAGCACAACAACGGGUGGAGCUUGCGGUUUAAUUGGAUUCAACGCCGGAAAUCUUACCGGGACCGACAGCAACAUGAAGGCCAAGCUGAAGACUUUGCCGGAUUAGCUG